AUUAUUACCGCGGCUGCUGGCUGCUGCCUCCCGUAGGAGUACUCCUACGGGAGGCAGCAGUAAGGAAUAUUGGUCAAUGGAGGCAACUCUGAACCAGCCAUGCCGCGUGCAGGAAGAAGGCCCUAUGGGUCGUAAACUGCUUUUGUACCAGAGAAAACCCGAGUACGUGUACUCGGUUGAUAGUAUGGUAAGAAUAAGCAUCGGCUAACUUCGUGCCAGCAGCCGCGGUAAUAAU
rnacentral:rRNA from 1 species